AAACGCAUGGCUCUGGAGCUGAAACAUGAACACAUUCUAGCUGAAGCCAAGAGAGCAGCUGAUGAGAGGAAACGUGUACGAGACCCUCCACACACCUCUAAAAGGGACUCUGUAGGACGUGGUAAGCCGAGGGGAGGCGAGGAGGGCGACGCCAAGCCUCCGCUACAGCCACAUACCCCACGGUUGAGUGCUCCCUGUCAUCAAGUGUGGAGGUUCCACUUACUGCAACCUCAACAAAACUAAAUCCUCAAGAGGAAUUUGAAAAAAAUAUGGAGAGGCUCUCUGAUAUUUUGGCGUCAUGUCCUUCUGCUGCUCAGCCUCAAAGUAGCUCUGCAUCAUCAUGGUCUUUUCGGCAGCAGAAAGCCUCAGA